AUUGACGGGUUUGAUUCGAUAUU
rnacentral:snRNA from 1 species